rnacentral:rRNA from 1 species
UACGUAGGGAGCAAGCGUUGUCCGGAAUCAUUGGGCGUAAAGCGCGCGUAGGUGGCCUCAUAAGUCCGUUGUGAAAGUCAAAGGCUCAACCUUUGAAAGCCGAUGGAUACUGUGAGACUAGAGUACGGAAGAGGCGAGUGGAAUUCCUGGUGUAGCGGUGGAAUGCGCAGAUAUCAGGAGGAACAUCCGUGGCGAAGGCGGCUCUCUGGGACGGUACUGACGCUGAGACGCGAAAGCGUGGGGAGCGAACAGG